GUCUAUGGCCAUAUCACCCUGAAUGCACCCAAUCUCCUCUGAUCUCAGAAGCUAAGCAGGGUAGGGCCUGGUUAGUACUUGGAUGGGAGAUAUGUGAUGAGAAAAUAUCUUCUGUAGAAC
rnacentral:rRNA from 1 species